UACCUCAAAAAAACACAACAGUCUGUUUCAUCCGUAUAGGAUGAAAUCCCUAUACGGAUGAAACAGACUGUUGUGGUUUUU